CCUACGGGGGGCAGCAGUGGGGAAUAUUGGACAAUGGGGGGAACCCUGAUCCAGUCAUGCCGCGUGUGUGAAGAAGGCCCUCGGGUUGUAAAGCACUUUCAGUGAGGAAGAACGCCUGGUGGUUAAUACCCAUCAGGAAAGACAUCACUCACAGAAGAAGCACCGGCUAACUCCGUGCCAGCAGCCGCGGUAAUACGGAGGGUGCGAGCGUUAAUCGGAAUUACUGGGCGUAAAGCGCGCGUAGGUGGCUUGAUAAGCCGGUUGUGAAAGCCCCGGGCUCAACCUGGGAACGGCAUCCGGAACUGUCAAGCUAGAGUGCAGGAGAGGAAGGUAGAAUUCCCGGUGUAGCGGUGAAAUGCGUAGAGAUCGGGAGGAAUACCAGUGGCGAAGGCGGCCUUCUGGACUGACACUGACACUGAGGUGCGAAAGCGUGGGUAGCAAACAGGAUUAGAUACCCUUGUAGUC
rnacentral:rRNA from 1 species